GACGAACGCUGGCGGCGUGCUUAACACAUGCAAGUCGAACGGAAAGGCCCUGCUUUUGUGGGGUGCUCGAGUGGCGAACGGGUGAGUAACAAGUGAGUAACCUGCCCUUGACUUUGGGAUAACUUCAGGAAACUGGGGCUAAUACCGGAUAGGAGCUCCUGCUGCAUGGUGGGGGUUGGAAAGUUUCGGCGGUUGGGGAUGGACUCGCGGCUUAUCAGCUUGUUGGUGGGGUAGUGGCUUACCAAGGCUUUGACGGGUAGCCGGCCUGAGAGGGUGACCGGCCACCUUGGGACUGAGAUACGGCCCAGACUCCUACGGGAGGCAGCAGUGGGGAAUAUUGCACAAUGGGCGGAAGCCUGAUGCAGCAACGCCGCGUGCGGGAUGACGGCCUUCGGGUUGUAAACCGCUUUCGCCUGUGACGAAGCGUGAGUGACGGUAAUGGGUAAAGAAGCACCGGCUAACUACGUG
rnacentral:rRNA from 1 species